UACGUAGGGCGCGAGCGUUGUCCGGAAUUACUGGGCGUAAAGCGUGCGUAGACGGUUAUGUAAGUCAGGUGUGAAAGCCCCGGGCUCAACCUGGGAAUGCCAUUUGAGACUGCAUAGCUAGGGUACGGAAGAGGGAAGCGGAAUUCCCGGUGUAGCGGUGAAAUGCGCAGAUAUCGGGAGGAACACCAGUGGCGAAGGCGGCUCUCUGGGCCUGUCCUGACGCUCAGGCGCGAAAGCUAGGGGAGCAAACAGG
rnacentral:rRNA from 1 species